GAUGAAGAACGCAGCGAAAUGCGAUAAGUAGUGUGAAUUGCAGAAUUCAGUGAAUCAUCGAAUCUUUGAACGCACAUUGCGCCCCUUGGUAUCCCGAGGGGCAUGCCUGUUCGAGCGUCAUUUCACCACUCAAGCCUGGCUUGGUGUUGGGCGACGUCCUCUUUGGGGACGCGCCUCGAAACGCUCGGCGGCGUGGCACCGGCUUUAAGCGUAGCAGAAUCUUUCGCUUUGGAAGUCGGGGCCCCGUCUGCCGGAAGACCUGCUCGCAAGGUUGACCUCGGAUCAGGCAAGGAUACCCGCUGAACUUAAGCAUAUCAAUAAGCGGAGGA
rnacentral:misc_RNA from 1 species